AAAGAAAAGCCUUAAGUUUGUCAAAGUAUAAAACCAAACCCGCUAGACUCUUAAAUCGUUUCAAAGAGAACCCCUUAGAACUUGAACCAAAAGAGAGAAAGAAUGAGAAAAAGGGUAGAGUUAGGACAUCUAUGGGACUGGGAUCAUCUUUUGAGCUUAAUGAAUGGGAGUCUGUUCUUGUAUGUGUCCAAUGACUUUUACCUUUAGCAUUCUGCUGAAGCUCAAUCUUUUCUCUGAGAGUCCCCUGUUACUCGACCAAUCACAAGAGGGACCAUUUUUGUCUCAUAGCCUAAGCCCGAAACCAAGUGAGUUCAUAACCAUUGCAUUGCUUGAUCCACUUUUCGUGCUUAAUGAAUGUUAAAGGAAUUGGUUGAUGAGAAUGCUUGAAUAGAUUAAGGCAAGUUGUUAGGUUGCAUUCUGACGAGUAUGGCUAACGUUUUUGAGUAAAGGUCUAUCAUCUUGCAACCUAGAAUUAGCUACCUGGACAUUGAGCUUACCCGUUCUAUAUGCAUGCUUUGGUUUUUGAAUCCCCAUCUUCAAACCUCUCCUUCAACUUAAGAUUUUUUGUUUGCUUGAGGGCAAGCAAGAGAUAAGUUUGGUGGAGUUGAUAACACUGUAUUUUACUCAUUUUAGGUGUGUAUUUAUCAUCAUUUAGUUUUGCAUUUGCUCAUUGUAUCAUAUCAUUUUGCACCAUUUUAGCUUCUUUUGCAUACUUAGGCAUCUAAGAUCAUCUUGCAUAUGCAUUGCAUGUUUUGGUGUGUUUUCAGGUGCAGAAGGAGCUAAAAAGGACUCUACUCGAUCCAUUCACUCGAUUCAGGCAGCUUCAGAAGAGGCAUCAUUCUACUCGACCUUUUUACUCGAUCCAGGAUGCUACAAAGGAGGCUGCAGUUUACUCGACCCUCUUACUCGAUCAAGGCAACCUCAGAUGAAGCAGCAGAUUGAUCUACUCGCCCCUCCUACUCGAUCCACUACUCUAUCCAUUUACUCGACCAUGGGUGACCAACUCUACAAGACUUGUUGAGCUAUCAAAGCGUCUUCGGAUCCUCCUCAUUCCCCACUCAACCAGACAUCUGCGCAUACAGAUAGGAGAAGAUGAAUCAUCUACUCGACUAAUUGAUCACUCGGAGCAUAGACACAAAGGCGCAGACUUUGCAGCACCCUCUUUACUCGAUCCCCAAGAUCGAUUAUUAGCCCAAACCGCCUCAAGUCACUUGUCUUCUAGUAAAUCUAGGGUUUCCAACAUUUUAGUAUAAAUAGAUCACUUUGGGAUUUGUCCAAAGGAUAUAUGCUUUAUCUUUAGGUUUUCUUUGUGUUCUUGAAUCUUCAAAACUUAAUUACUCUUAAUCUAUUUCGUUUUUGCAUUUAGUUGUUUUAGUAAAGUUGUUUAGCUUGUUUAGAUCUACCUUUUGGUAUGAUUUUAGUAAUUUCUGGGUUUGUGUUUUUGAGAAUGUUGCAUGAGUAGUGAUUAGGGUUCUGGAGGAUUGAUUAGAUUAGGGUAAUCUCUAGGUUAGUUAGGUGGUUAGUGUUUAGGUUAUACCCUUCUGGAUUCGCUUGGCCCCUAUGCGGUUUUCGCUGGCUAAUGUGGAGAUUCAAUCAUAGACGUCCAGUGUCCAAAAGACGUUCAAAUGGAUGUCUGACCUACGAAUUCCAGAGAUUUGUAGAUUCGACCAAGGGAUUAGCUUGUCUGCCUAUUGGCUUUGGUAGAUUGUUUUUUAAACCCUGCUCUGCUAUGUUUCAUCAACGAGAGUUGAGAUUAGUAAGUGGUAGAGUUAUGGGGGUCUCUGUCACGAGAGUGGAUUGACCCAGUUUUUGAAUCUAUUGUCAUGGGUAUCUAUCUUUCGCCUAUUAGCCAUCUGAUGAACCCUAGAGUUGCCCUUAUCAAUGAAUCCAUCCUUAGAACUUCUAUUAGAUUUAUUUGUAUCCCUUGUUGAUUGCACUUUUAUUUACCUGUUAUUUGUAUCCCCUAUUUGUAUCCCAUGUUGAUUGCAUUGA
rnacentral:sRNA from 1 species